CCAAUAGCGUAUAUUAGUGUUGUUGCGGUUAAAAAGCUCGUAGUUGAAUUUCGGGAUUGGGAUAUAUCGGUCGUGCCUUCAGGGGCAUGAAUUGGUGUAUGGUCAAUUCUUACCUUCUGGUGAAUUGGAUUGUUUUCGGGUGUUUUGAUGAACUAGGACAUUUACUUUGAAAAAAUUAGAGUGUUUAAAGCGGGCAUUUUUGCUUGAAUACAUUAGCAUGGAAUAAUACAAUAGGACGAUGGUUUUAUUUUGUUGGUUUUAGGACCACGUAAUGAUUAAUAGGGAUAGUUGGGGGCAUUAGUAUUCAAUUGUCAGAGGUGAAAUUCUUGGAUUAAUUGAGGACUAACUACUGCAAAAGCAUUUGCCAAGGAUGUUUUCAUUAAUCAAGAACGAAAGUUAAGGGAUCAAAAACGAUUUAUAUACGUUGUAGUCUUAACCAUAAAUUAUGCCGACUAGGAAUCAGACAAAGUUAAAUUUUUAACGACUUGUUUGGCACCUUACG
rnacentral:rRNA from 1 species